UGUUAAAAAAUUCAUCUAUUAGUACGGUUGGAACCUGGCAUUACUAAUAGAAUAACCAAACAGUGAUGUAUAGCUUAUCAUGUGUAUAUCAUUUUGGCAUACAAUGAUUAAUUUUUAACUUUAAAAAUGGAUGAAAUUUUUAAUA
rfam:Gossypium raimondii Chr08_contig_620, whole genome shotgun sequence.